rnacentral:lncRNA from 1 species
UUUUUUUUUUUUUUUUUUUUUUUUUUUGGCUUUUGGUCUUUGCUCUCCUGUAGUGUUAUUGCAAGGUUUUUGCCCAAUUAUCAGUAGAAUUGUCUGUCUUUUCCGUAUUCAUUUUGGGGACCUCUUUUGUAUUUAUAUCAGAGCUUUGACAAUUAUGGGUGUAUAAAUAUUUUCUCUAUCUUUGUCACUUGCUUUUUAACCUUUUAUGUGUAUUGUGUUGCUAUAAAAUUCUUAAUUUCUUUUUUUUUUUUUGUCUUUUUGUCCUUUUGUCUUUUUGUUGUUGUUGUUGUUGCUAUUUCUUGGGCCGCUCCCGCGGCAUAUGGAGCAGCCCAAGAAACGGCAAAAAGACAAAAAAAAAAAAAAAAUCAAAUUAAGAAACUAUCCUAUUAUUACUAGUUUACUAAGAAUUUUAUUAACACAACUAUAUGCUACAUUUUAUAAAACCCUGAUUCUGGAUAUGAUGUAAAAAUUUUACUAAGCACUUUCAUUCAACAUUUUUAGGUAAAAACAUCCUUCUUCUCUUUUAGCUCCUUAAUGUUAUAGAUUGUAUUGAUUUUCUAAUGUUCUGAUGUUGAACCAACCUUGCAUUCCUGGAUUAAGAUUUGACUGUGUUAUGCUCUUCAUAUACUGCUCCACUCAUUUUGCCAAUAUUUAGUAUAGGAUUUUGAUACGGACAUCCAUAAAAGAUUGGCUUAUGAUUUCAGUUCUUUAUACUUUUUUUGUCAGAUUUUGGUAUCAAUGCUGUGCUAGCUAUAUAAAAUGAAUUAAAGAAUAUAUAUACACCCCUUUUCUAUUUUCUUAAAGAAUCUCCAUAAAUGUGGAAUAAUUUAUUUCCAUAAUAUUUCCAGAAUAAUUUACCAGCAGAGGCACUGAGCUUAAUCUUGUUUUAUGAGAAAAUUUUUUAUUACGGUUCCAUGUAUGGUUUCAUAUUCAAAUUGUUUAUUUCUUCUUGCGUAAGUUUUCUAGGAGUUGGCCGAUAUUUCAAAACUUUUCUAAUGUACUUGUGUGAAAUAAUAUCAUAUUAUAUUAUAAUAAUAUCGAAAUGAUUCCUAGUGGGUUUCUUGGUAUUUAUAAACACCUAUGAAUCAUUAUAUACUGAUAACAGUAUCAAAUUGUUUGGCAGCACUUAGGAGUCAAUGUGAGACACAGCCCAUCUCUGUUUGAGGUUAACCUCUCUUUAAAAAAGGAAACUGAAGUUAGUUCACUCUCUGUGAACCAGCCUGAGAAGUACAGACCACACAGGAGUCCUUAGGAAAAGCUAUGAAAUGAAUACUGCUUUACCAGUCAGUGGUUGCUACUAUAGUACCUCACCUUUAAUAAAGCAUGCUGGUAUAGGGAAAGCUCCUUAUUACUCUCUACUUCUAAAUCUAUAAAUUAAACUCCAACAGAAAUUCUGACACAGAAUGUAAUAAAGACAAAAAGAAACCAAAAUUUGCUUUUAAAAGAAUAUCCCAUAUCUCAGAGGUGCACAUUAAAGGCACAUGUCUACCAACCCUCUUCUCUUGGUUUACUUUACACAGACAAUACAACGGAACAUGAACCUAGGUUUUGUGAAAUUUAGGGACACAGGUAACUUCUACAGCCACGUGGAAGGAAGGAAAAGUACCUCAAAACAACUAAAACUUCACAAAAUUCAGACUUGAGGUAAUGCCAAGUAUGAUUAUAUGGUUGCAGUUUAUCAGGUUCAAAGAAAUACAAACAUCUAUGAUUAUAGAGAAUCCUCAUAUGGUGCUAGAUGAGGGAAUUUAGAUGCUGCUGGAACAUCCAAAGGUUUAUUCUCAUAUCCCUAAAUUAGAGACAUUUGGUCUACUUGAGGCUCCAAGAGCCAAAUGGAGCCAGGGUCCUGGACACAAAGAUCACCUGGAGCAUUACAACAUGGAAACACCACUCAUGGUGUCCUCUUCUUUCCAUACACAACCUUCCCAUCCAGUCUACCUUGGAUUAGGCACAGGCAUUAAAGUGGGAGCUGGGAAGAUAGGAGAUGUGAAGAGAUAAAAUGUAAUGGAAAGACUACUUGGUCUGCCAUGGCUAUAAGCUAGUCACAUCAUCUCCAAACAGGGCUAAUUUAGCAUCUCACCCAAAUAACUGACCUGUGACAUCCAGGUGGAAGGAGACCUUCUGGCCCCCAGCUUUGCAGGUGUAUUCCCCAGCAUCUGCCUUGCCCGCCUGAUGCACCAUCAGCCUCCGGGUGCAGCCCUUGGCCUCCACAUGCACUUUUGAGCUAGAAGUUAGCUUCUUCCCAUCCUUGUACCAUGUCACCUCUGUCUGGGCCUGGGCCACCUCACAGCUCAGAGUGGCACUGGCCCCUGCCAUGGCCUGCACUUCACUGCAUGCCGGCUGCUCCUUGGCAAACACUUCCAUGGGCUCUGGGGACAAGCAGGGAUACACAGGGUCAAAGAUACUAAAUAAGUCUAAGAUGAAGCACUGGGGAAGAAAGAUUAAAUGGUGAAGCAGAGGACUGGAAAUUUCUCUAGACCCUGGCUACUUGUCUGGCUUGGAAAAAGCCACCUCCUCAGCAAGUAACCAUAAUUUAUCUAUACGUUCUAUCACUGAUCCAUGUGUGUUGUUACA